CCUACGGGUGGCAGCAGUGAGGAAUAUUGGUCAAUGGGAGGAAUCCUGAACCAGCCAUGCCGCGUGCAGGACGACGGCUCUACGAGUUGUAAACUGCUUUUGUACCGGGGUAAAAUGCCUUACGCGUAGGGGUUUGAAAGUACGGUACGAAUAAGGAUCGGCUAACUCCGUGCCAGCAGCCGCGGUAAUACGGAGGGUGCGAGCGUUUAUCGGAAUUACUGGGGGUAAAGCGCUCGUAGGCGGGAGGUCAAGGCAAGGGUGAAAUCCCCGCGGUCAAAGUGGGGCCUGCCUGUGAAACUGGCAGACUGGAGUGUGGGAGAGGUAAGUGGAAUGCGAGGUGUAGGAGUGAAAUGCGUAGAUAUCAGGAAGAACACCGGUGGCGAAGGCGACUAUCUGGCACAUAACUGACGCUGAGGAGCGAAAGCGUGGGUAGCGAACAGGAUUAGAUACCCGGGUAGUC
rnacentral:rRNA from 1 species